UACGGAGGGGGCAAGCGUUGUUCGGAAUCACUGGGCGUAAAGGGUGCGUAGGCGGCCGCGUGUGUCUGGCGUAAAAUUCCACGGCUCAACCGUGGGUAUGCGCUGGAAACUACGUGGCUUGGGUGCGGCAGAGGCAGACGGAACUGCUGGUGUAGGGGUGAAAUCCGUAGAUAUCAGCAGGAACGCCGGUGGAGAAGUCGGUCUGCUGGGCCGUAACCGACGCUGAGGCACGAAAGCUAGGGGAGCGAACCGG
rnacentral:rRNA from 1 species